UUGGAGGGCAAGUCUGGUGCCAGCAGCCGCGGUAAUUCCAGCUCCAAUAGCGUAUAUUAAAGUUGUUGCAGUUAAAAAGCUCGUAGUUGAAUUUCGGGAUUGACGUGAUGGUCAUGCCUUAAGGGGUAUGAGCUGUUGCAGUUGAUUUCUCACCUUCUGGAGAAACAUGAUGUCCUUUAUUGGGUGUCUUGCGGAUCCAGGACCUUUACCUUGAAAAAAUUAGAGUGUCUAAAGCAGGCAUUUUUGCUCGAAUACAUUAGCAUGGAAUAAUAGAAUAGGACGGCAUGGUUCUAUUUUGUUGGUUUCUAGGAUCACCGUAAUGAUUAAUAGGGAUAGUUGGGGGCAUUAGUAUUCAAUUGUCAGAGGUGAAAUUCUUGGAUUUAUUGAAGACUAACUACUGCGAAAGCAUUUGCCAAGGAUGUUUUCAUUAAUCAAGAACGAAAGUUAGGGGAUCGAAGACGAUCAGAUACCGUCGUAGUCUUAACCAUAAACUAUGCCGACUAGGGAUCGGACGAAGUUAAUUUUAUAAUGACGCGUUCGGCACCUUAUGGGAAACCAAAGUGUUUGGGUUC
rnacentral:rRNA from 1 species